AGCUUUGCACAGUGGCAGUAUCAUAGUCAAUGAGGUUUAUCCAAGGUGCGAUUAUUGCUUAUUGAAAAGAAUCAUUUAUAUCAGUUCCAUGGCUAGCAUUUAAAUGAGAUCAAAAUAUAUUUAUCAUAUAGGGGAUAUAU